rnacentral:lncRNA from 1 species
UCUUGGAAUACCAGAACAGGAAAAGCAAACAAAUGUAAUGUUUGUGCACCAAUAUGCAUUUGGAACUUAAAUUGAUGUAAAUCUGAGAUGGUUUCGAUUUGUCCUGUUUUCACCACAGCUUAAAUAUUGGCACUUAAAUCCACCAGAGACCAAAUGACACAGAAAUUUACAACUAUAGUUCACUGACGGCCUUCAACAAUGAGCAAAGCCCAAACCACAUAGUCAUCUAUAAAAGGCCCCGAAAUGACAAAUGUAAAACAAUUCAAACGAGAAAACUAAACUAAAAAUGAAUGAGAAACAAACACGUAACACAUCAACAAAAUGGACUGCAAGGGG